rnacentral:rRNA from 1 species
UAGGGAAUCUUCCACAAUGGACGAAAGUCUGAUGGAGCAACGCCGCGUGAGUGAAGAAGGGUUUCGGCUCGUAAAGCUCUGUUGUUAAAGAAGAACGUGGGUAAGAGUAACUGUUUACCCAGUGACGGUAUUUAACCAGAAAGCCACGGCUAACUACGUGCUAG